GUCAGGUCUGAUGGUAUCUAUGAUAUAUACAGUACUCUGUAAAGUCUCUCCUCCUGUCAGUGAUCAGGUCUGAUGGAAUCUAUGAUAUAUACAGUACUCUGUAAAGUCUCUCCUCCUGUCUGUGGUCAGGUGUGAUGGUAUCUAUGAUAUAUACAGUAUCUGUAAAGUCUCUCCUCCUGUCUGUGGUCAGGUCUGAUGGUGUGGACCAGUGCUGGUCUGGUAGUCAUGGUGACAGUGUUAGGACUGGUCCUGCUCCUGUUCUACAGACAGAGGAGAGGAACCAGGAGAACACCACCACCACCAGUCUCCUCCAACACACAACCUGACCCUACUGGAGAGGUUGUCUGUGUGUAUGAGGAGAUCAGAGAGACAGACAGACAGACAGACACACUCCCUGUGGUCAUCUCUUCAGUCUACUCUACUGUCUCUACUAGCUCUACUAGCUCUGCCACAGAUUCGAGAGUCCCUUCAAGUCCUCCAACAGCCAGUGGAACCCAGGAUGAUUCCAUCUAUUAUACAGCCCAGCUACGUAAAGAUACUGUAGAAUCUACAAGAGACCCUGCUGUACACCUCUUUAAAGACAGCCCAGAAGAUGCCCUCUACUCUACAGCCCAGCUACCCAAAAUAAUGUAGUACUAUAUAAUCUAUACAAGGGAUGCAUCCCAAAUGACACCCUAUUAUCUAUCCCCCAUAUGGACCCUUGUCAAAGGCAGUGCUCUACAGGGAACAAGGUGCCAUCUGGGAUGAAGGGAAGCUCCCUGUAGAGAGAUGAAGGGUUGUCACCACAGAGCCGCCAUCUUGAAAGGACUUGAAAAAAACAAUCCCUUUCAUGUUUCAAAUCCUCCUUGACAUAUUGUAUGUAAAAUAUGAACAUCUGGGUUUAAAAUCACUUAUCUCCAGAUUUUGUGAAAGUCAACCAACACUAUUGUAAAUAUUUCUGUUUUGUCACAUCAUCUUGGCUUCAUUUUGUCUGUUAUAAUAAUGAAGACAGUAAUACCAUAAUAGUCAGUUGUAUCUUUGAAAUGUACAUAUCUAUUGUAUAUGUAAAUAAACUGUGUUUUAAAGCAUUUCAUUAAAACUCAUCAAAAUGUUU
rnacentral:lncRNA from 8 species